UACAGAGGUCUCUAGCGUUGUUCGGAUUCAUUGGGCGUAAAGGGUGCGUAGGCGGCGCGGUAAGUCGGGUGUGAAAUCUUGGAGCUUAACUCCGAAACUGCAUUCGAUACUGCCGUGCUUGAGGACUGGAGAGGAGACUGGAAUUUACGGUGUAGCGGUGAAAUGCGUAGAUAUCGUAAGGAAGACCAGUGGCGAAGGCGGGUCUCUGGACAGAUACUGACGCUGAGGCACGAAAGCGAGGGGAGCAAACGGG
rnacentral:rRNA from 1 species